CGUAAACGAUGAGUGCUAAGUGUUGGAGGGUUUCCCCUUUCAGUGCUGCAGCUAACGCAUUAAGCACUCCGCCUGGGGAGUACGACCGCAAGGUUGAAACUCAAAGGAAUUGACGGGGGCCCGCACAAGCGGUGGAGCAUGUGGUUUAAUUCGAAGCAACGCGAAGAACCUUACCAGGUCUUGACAUCCUUUGACCACUCUAGAGAUAGAGCUUUCCCUUCGGGGACAAAGUGACAGGUGGUGCAUGGUUGUCGUCAGCUCGUGUCGUGAGAUGUUGGGUUAAGUCCCGCAACGAGCGCAACCCUUAUUGUUAGUUGCCAUCAUUCAGUUGGGCACUCUAGCGAGACUGCCGGUGACAAACCGGAGGAAGGUGGGGAUGACGUCAAAUCAUCAUGCCCCUUAUGACCUGGGCUACACACGUGCUACAAUGGGAAGUACAACGAGUCGCUAGGCCGCGAGGUCAUGCAAAUCUCUUAAAGCUUCUCUCAGUUCGGAUUGCAGGCUGCAACUCGCCUGCAUGAAGCCGGAAUCGCUAGUAAUCGCGGAUCAGCACGCCGCGGUGAAUACGUUCCCGGGCCUUGUACACACCGCCCGUCACACCACGAAAGUUUGUAACACCCGAAGUCGGUGAGGUAACCUUUUGGAGCCAGCCGCCUAAGGUGGGAUAGAUGAUUGGGGUGAAGUCGUAACAAGGUAACCAAGGGCGAAUUCUG
rnacentral:rRNA from 1 species